rnacentral:rRNA from 1 species
UACGUAGGGGGCUAGCGUUGUCCGGAUUUAUUGGGCGUAAAGAGCGUGUAGGCGGCCAGGUAGGUCUGCUGUGAAAACUCGAGGCUCAACCUCGAGACGUCGGCGGAAACCAUCUGGCUAGAGUCCGGAAGAGGAGAGUGGAAUUCCUGGUGUAGCGGUGAAAUGCGCAGAUAUCAGGAAGAACACCCGUGGCGAAGGCGGCCCCCUGGGCCGUACCUGACGCUGAGGCGCGAAGGCUAGGGGAGCGAACGGG